rnacentral:ncRNA from 1 species
CUGGUUCCGGUUCACGUUCCCGAUCAGCAGGGUGUGACCACACGACUGCUGCAGUGCGCCGCACACGGGAACGACCCGGCGACC